rnacentral:rRNA from 1 species
CCUACGGGUGGCAGCAGUGGGGAAUAUUGCACAAUGGGCGCAAGCCUGAUGCAGCCAUGCCGCGUGUGUGAAGAAGGCCUUCGGGUUGUAAAGCACUUUCAGCGGGGAGGAAGGCGGGGGGGUUAAUAACCUCACCGAUUGACGUCACCCGCAGAAGAAGCACCGGCUAACUCCGUGCCAGCAGCCGCGGUAAUACGGAGGGUGCAAGCGUUAAUCGGAAUUACUGGGCGUAAAGCGCACGCAGGCGGUCUGUCAAGUCGGAUGUGAAGUCCCCGGGCUCAACCUGGGAACUGCAUUCGAAACUGGCAGGCUAGAGUCUUGUAGAGGGGGGUAGAAUUCCAGGUGUAGCGGUGAAAUGCGUAGAGAUCUGGAGGAAUACCGGUGGCGAAGGCGGCCCCCUGGACAAAGACUGACGCUCAGGUGCGAAAGCGUGGGGAGCAAACAGGAUUAGAUACCCCGGUAGUC